GGCCAACCUUUGGUUUCAAUCAAAUUCUCCUUGACAUCUUCUAGAAAUCCCUCUACCACCUUGUCCACUUUCUCUUCUGUGAGAUCAUCAACAUCUCCUAAUUCUUUCUUUGCAUU